rnacentral:rRNA from 1 species
UGGGGAAUAUUGCACAAUGGGGGAAACCCUGAUGCAGCGACGCCGCGUGAAGGAAGAAGUAUCUCGGUAUGUAAACUUCUAUCAGAAGGGAAGAAAAUGACGGUACCUGACUAAGAACGCCCCGGCUAACUACGUGCC